GUAGGUGGCAAGCGUUGUCCGGAAUUAUUGGGCGUAAAGCGCGCGCAGGCGGUUCUUUAAGUCUGACGUGAAAGCCCACGGGCUCAACCGUGGAGGUCAUUGGAAACUGGAGAACUUGAGUACAGAAGAGGAAAGCGGAAUUCCACGUGUAGCGGUGAAAUGCGUAGAGAUGUGGAGGAACACCAGUGGCGAAGGCGGCUUUCUGGUCUGUAACUGACGCUGAGGCGCGAAAGCGUGGGGAGCAAACAGGAUUAGAUACCCUGGUAGUCCACGCCGUAAACGAUGAGUGCUAAGUGUUAGGGGGUUUCCGCCCCUUAGUGCUGCAGCUAACGCAUUAAGCACUCCGCCUGGGGAGUACGGCCGCAAAGGCUG
rnacentral:rRNA from 1 species